rfam:Eubacterium hallii CAG:12 genomic scaffold, scf196
CAUACUAAAGUAUGAACGCCGAAGACAGCAGGUGCCGUAAGGCAUAAAGUGAGAACACCUGCCGAGGAAGUUAUAUUCAGAUAAUUUUAUUCUUAGAAUAUUUCUGCUCUUUGUCUUUGGACAGAGAGUUUUUUUAUUUCAUCG